rnacentral:tRNA from 1 species
UCCCUGGUGGUCUAGCAGGUAAGACUCCACGUUCCCAAUGCAGGGGGUCCAGGUUCGAUCCCUGAUUGGGGAA